rnacentral:rRNA from 1 species
UACGUAGGGGGCAAGCGUUGUCCGGAAUUAUUGGGCGUAAAGCGUGCGCAGGCGGUUUGCUAAGACAGGUGUGAAAUCCCCGGGCUUAACCUGGGAACUGCGCUUGUAACUGGCAAGCUAGAGUGUGGCAGAGGGGGGUGGAAUUCCACGUGUAGCAGUGAAAUGCGUAGAGAUGUGGAGGAACACCAGUGGCGAAGGCGACUCUUUGGCCUGUAACUGACGCUGAGGCGCGAAAGCGUGGGGAGCAAACAGG